rnacentral:rRNA from 1 species
UACGUAGGGUGCAAGCGUUAAUCGGAAUUACUGGGCGUAAAGCGUGCGCAGGCGGUGCGCCAAGCUCGAUGUGAAAGCCCCGGGCUUAACCUGGGAAUUGCAUUGAGGACUGGCGUGCUCGAGUGCGGCAGAGGGGGGUGGAAUUCCGCGUGUAGCAGUGAAAUGCGUAGAGAUGCGGAGGAACACCGAUGGCGAAGGCAGCCCCCUGGGCCGAAUACUGACGCUCAGGCACGAAGGCGUGGGGAGCAAACAGGG